UUGUUUGCAGGUGCAGCAUCACCAAGAUUCACAUGCAAAAUAUAAGCAGGGGCAGCUAGCAACAAGCAUGUGGUUUCUUUUCUUUUCUUUUCUUUAAAUACCUUCUGCCCAAGUUUAUCUUUGAAGGUGAGAAUCUUGAUGAUGCUGCAUCAGCCAUAUA
rnacentral:pre_miRNA from 1 species